GUGAGUGGAAUGAAUAGGGACCGCCAGCAGAGUUAAUGAGACAUGCUGUUGCACGGGCCGGGAAUAAUCAGUUAAAAGUGUUCAAAACACAUAAAUAUCUGUUUUAUUGUGAAUUUACCUUGUAAUGAACAUGUUAGGGAUCUGCUGGAUUGAUGAAUUCCUUGUGCUACGAACUCCUUAUUUCCACUUUAUGCGUCUCCAUUGUGCAGACCUAAACCUACUCACACAUGACGCUGAGGCUGACAGCAGGAGAGGGCAGAUGUUCUUGUCCUCUGACGGCACAGCUGUAACUGCCAGAAUCACUGCGGACUGACUGAAGCUGCAGGAUGUCGCUGUGGAAGUUUAAAGCCUGCCCAUUUUUGUACCAGAUGAAUCUGUCUGUCAGAUCGCAAGUAGUUCUACAUGUCAGAUUGACCGUUUCUUUCUCCAGCACCUGCUGUGGAGCCUGAACCUGAAGGGCUGGAGGACACAAAUCCUUCUAACCAUGUCCUAAAACUACUAACUUUUUGUUAAAUAAAUAAAUAAUGGAAAUGAAGGACAGAAGUGGAUUACCUGAAACUUUAAGUUGAAUUCCUAGUUGAUCAAACCAUCUUUGUCCUUCAGUUGCAGUUAUUAAUUUGAAACAAUACUCUAUCUCAUCAUUUUCAGUGACGUUGUGCAGUCUGAGAGCAGCAGUUUUGUUUUGUCUGUAUUCAAUGUAUUCAACCCUGUCUUUAUACUCCUGAUAUUCUUUUAAACUUUUGAUCUUUUCAUCUGGUUUCUUGAUCCAAAAGGUUUCUGUCAGUAGAUACUGCUGAGGGUAUGUGUAUGUGCAUGACAUGUUUACUGUGGAUCCUUUGAGAGCACAUAUUGAAUUAGUUUCAUAAGUCACAUUCCAGUCUUCUCCAAAAGCUCCUGAAACACAAAAUACAUGAAGAUAAAUGGUCAA